AGCAUAUCAAUAAGCGGAGGGAAAAAAACUAACAAGGAUUCCCUUAGUAACUGCGAGUGAAGAGGGAAAAGCUCAAAUUUAAAAUCUGGCAGUGUUUCACUGUCCGAGUUGUAACCUAGAGAAGUGUAACCUGCGCUGGACCGUGUAUAAGUCUCCUGGAAUGGAGCAUCACAGAGGGUGAGAAUCCCGUCUUUGACAUGGACCACCAGUGCAUUAUGGUUGUGCUCUCAACGAGUCGAGUUGUUUGGGAAUGCAGCUCUAAAUGGGUGGUAAAUUCCAUCUAAAGCUAAAUAUUGGCGAGAGACCGAUAGCGAACAAGUACCGUGAGGGAAAGAUGAAAAGAACUUUGGAAAGAGAGUUAAACAGUAUGUGAAAUUGUUGAAAGGGAAACGUUUGAAGUCAGUCGCGUUGGUUGGGGAUCAGCCUGACAUUGUUGGGUUUACUUCCUGGUCGACGGGCCAACAUCAGUUUUAACUGCCAGAAAAAGGCCAAAGGAAUGUGGCACCUUUGGGUGUGUUUAUAGCCCUUGGUCGUAUAUGGUGGUUGGGACUGAGGAAAGCAGCGUGCCGAAAGGCCGGGUUUCGACCACGUUCACGCUGAGGAUGUUGGCAUAAUGGCUUUAAGCGACCCGUCUUGAAACACGGACCAAGGAGUCUAACAUGCAUGCGAGUGUUUGGGUGGAAAACCCUUACGCGUAAUGAAAGUGAAAGUUGAGAUCCCUGUCGCGGGGAGCAUCGACGCCCGGACCAGAACUUUUGGGACGGAUCUGCGGUAGAGCACGUAUGUUGGGACCCGAAAGAUGGUGAACUAUGCCUGAAUAGGGUGAAGCCAGAGGAAACUCUGGUGGAGGCUCGUAGCGAUUCUGACGUGCAAAUCGAUCGUCAAAUUUGGGUAUAGGGGCGAAAGACUAAUCGAACCAUCUAGUAGCUGGUUCCUGCC
rnacentral:rRNA from 1 species